AAAAGUGGAAGCACUAUUUUCCCGGCAUAUCGAAUGGCGUGCGAGUUCUGAGGAUGAAUGUACUUCGGCACAUUCCCUCUUUCAUUGCCAUUGGAAAAGAGACAACUAUGGUGUCUUACACCAGCUCAAAACCUGCCGCCUAUGCGGCCAUCCGGUCCAUACUGGCAGCAAAUGUCCGGAUUCAAGUUCUCCACCUAAUGAUGAACCACUUUCAACAUCGACAUCUUCGAAAUCCAUCCACGAGCUGUUUACUCUGCACGGAGAAAACGAAGUACCCAAAAAUAAGUUUUUUUAUACUCAAAAUUGAGUAAAGCAGUCGAACUGAAGAAGUGGGUAAAUUUCAUUCUGUCAAUUACGUACAUUUAACCCAACAUUUGAGUUCUCUAUCGAAAACUCAAAUUUGAGUAAAAAUCAACUUGUUCAAUUUAUUGCAGUCAUUUAGGCUGCGUUCUAGCCGUUGGGUAAUUUAAACACAAUUUUGGAUGAAAAAAUGUAGCAGGCACUUUAAAAUGUCAACACAGAUCAUUCCAUGUUAGUCAUCGUCGGUAAAGGAUGUAAAUCGUGAUCGUUUCUAAAAAAAUACUCGCAAAAUUGGUGGAUUAGUGUAGUGAUAUAUCAAAGAUCCUCAGUUGUCCUGGGUCCACUAUCAUCCCGUAAUAACUACUGUUUGCCGUCCCUGCCACUCGUUGUGAAUGAUUUGUGGAACCGAGAUGCUGGUUACUGAUCUCAAAAGAAUUACCGCAGUGAUUUCGGCAGAUGGCAUCCCGCCCGAGCUUUAUUUUCCCGUUCCAGCCACUCUGUGCCACCGCCUAAUCAAAGUAAAUUUUUACACCCGAUACGAAAUGUUUUUGCACCAAGAAAGUCGCCCUUGGCAUCCACGUCGUUGAGUAAAAGCUUCAAACGAACAAAGGUUUUUUUUAAAUUAAAUUCUUUUGGUCUUUACAUAUCACAAACACAUGCUUAUUGUAUUAAUUUUGGUAUUUUUUUGUUUUGGAUUUCGCUUCGUAUGAAAAUACCUAUUUUUGAGUUUUUACUCCCAAGUUAACGUUGAGUAAAAAUCACCCACCAAUUUGAUUUGGUACAAUUACUCAAAUUUGAGUACUAGGCUAUUUACUCAAAUUUGGGGUAACGCACUAACGUGCCGAGUUGGGUCAAAAGAACCCAAAUCUGAGUAUGUCAUUUUCUCCGUGUGGAUGAUUUCCCACCGAUCAACAUUGACCAGCAAUUACAUCCAACUCCUGUUAAAACAGAUGAUCCAGAAGAAGCAAAACGAAAGAGCGACGACGAGUGGACUGAUGAUGACAAUACAUCGAACUCAUCCAUCGAGCA